UAAGGAAUAUUGGUCAAUGGACGCAAGUCUGAACCAGCCAUGCCGCGUGGAGGAUGAAGGCCCUCUGGGUUGUAAACUUCUUUUAUAGGGGACGAAACCCUGGUAUUCUUACCAGAUUGACGGUACCCUAGGAAUAAGCACCGGCUAACUCCGUGCCAGCAGCCGCGGUAAUACGGAGGGUGCAAGCGUUAUCCGGAUUCACUGGGUUUAAAGGGUGCGUAGGAGGGCAGGUAAGUCAGUGGUGAAAUCUCCAAGCUUAACUUGGAAACUGCCGUUGAUACUAUCUGUCUUGAAUAUUGUGGAGGUGAGCGGAAUAUGUCAUGUAGCGGUGAAAUGCUUAGAUAUGACAUAGAACACCAAUUGCGAAGGCAGCUCGCUACUCAAUUAUUGACUCUGAGGCACGAAAGCGUGGGGAUCAAACAGGAUUAGAUACCCUGGUAGUCCACGCCCUAAACUAUGGAUACUCGACAUACGCGAUAUACAGUG
rnacentral:rRNA from 1 species